rnacentral:tRNA from 1 species
GUAAAAUGGCUGAGUAAGCAUUAGACUGUAAAUCUAAAGACAGGGGUUAAUUCCCCUUUUUACCA